rnacentral:rRNA from 1 species
UACGAAGGGGGCUAGCGUUGUUCGGAAUCACUGGGCGUAAAGCGCACGUAGGCGGACUCAUAAGUCAGGGGUGAAAUCCCGGGGCUCAACCUCGGAACUGCCUUUGAUACUGUGAGUCUCGAGACCGGAAGAGGUGAGUGGAAUUCCUAGUGUAGAGGUGAAAUUCGUAGAUAUUAGGAAGAACACCAGUGGCGAAGGCGGCUCACUGGUCCGGUUCUGACGCUGAGGUGCGAAAGCGUGGGGAGCAAACAGG